UACAACUCCCAAUGCAAUUUUACUUUCAUGUGCACUCCAAUAAGGGAACCACAACUUUUUUUAACAAUGAACUACAAUAAUUUUGAAAAAUGUACUUCUUCGGUUCACCGAGCGCACUGCUUUUACAAAGAACCGAUUUUACAAACUGAGUAAUCCACAGAAAUAGUCCCUUUUUAUGUCUCCACAUUACAAUCACACACAAAGUAUAACCCAACUUCUUCGGUUCACUGAUGGCUGUCCAACAGCACGGGAUGCACCGGGAGAUGUUUUGGGCUACACGCCCAGCGACGUGCACUACAACAGGGAACCAUCCUGCUCAGCCCGGCCAACAGGACUGCACGCGUCGUGCGCAUGGGCUGCAAUCAAAUGGGAGUCCACAAAUAGACCAGAACUUUACAAAGACUACUUAAAAAGAAAAUUACAUGUUUCUAAAAAAAUACACAAUCAGAUCCACGGGCGCCCAACAGCAAUGCACUUCAGGUGGGCAUGUGGGAGGAGGUCGGCGGAAUGCACUGGCUAUCUUUUCUGCAAAAAAAGAGAAGUAAAAAUGAACCUGAAGAGCAAAACAACAGUUGACUGCAUUUGCAUAUUUAUAUCUCUUCAGAAGAACACCAAGAAACGCACAGAUGAGGGGCAACAGCAUGGCAACGCGUGAACCACAUCGCGCGCGCCGGCGCACUGCAAGGUCAGUGCGGUUUGACUUCAAGGGGAGGAGGGUAGCUUGUCGGGGG
rnacentral:lncRNA from 1 species